GCAUGUAGUUCGAAUUUGAAUUCUGCACAUAAAUGCAUUGAAAACUCAGUUAAUGCAUAAAGAUGUCCAAACGGACCCCGAAAAAUCACAAAAAUUGACACAACACUCCUGGAGCGGUGAAAUGCAUUGAGAUCGGAAAGAACACCAACGGCGAAAGCACUCUGCUGGGCCGACACUGACACUGAGAGACGAAAGCUAGGGGAGCAAAUGGGAUUAGAGACCCCAGUAGUCCUAGCCGUAAACGAUGGAUACUAGGUGUUGUGCGACUCAACCCGUGCAGUAUUGUUGUUCUAUGUUGAGAC
rnacentral:ncRNA from 1 species